UCGAGCUUGUGCCAGUGCUUCUGAUACGCUUGGAGUCGACUCGUAAUCUUCCGGAGUCGACUCGAGACUCAGACUUUGGUUCAAAUUGCAUUCCUUACUUAUCCAAAGUGUAUUGAACCAAAGCUAGAGACACUUAACCAUAAAUUUACAAAUAUUUGACUGAAACACUAGAUUGAAUUCAUUAGUAUAACAUAAGAUAUACUCAAAUGCUUUGAGCUCAUCAAAAUCAAAUAGGGUUAUAAUCAAUCACUCCACACUCAGAUUCGGUCCAACUGAAUAUGACGAUCCCGGAGAGGCCUUGACUCGACUGAAACAAACAACAACUGUGGCUGUAUAUCAGGAAGCUUUUGAACG
rnacentral:lncRNA from 1 species